UCUUCCACAAUGGGCGAAAGCCUGAUGGAGCAACGCCGCGUGGGUGAAGAAGGUCUUCGGGUCGCAAAGCUCUGUCCUCAAGGAAGAUAAUGACGGUACUUGAGGAGGAAGCCCCGGCUAACUACGUGCCAGCAGCCGCGGUAAUACGUAGGGGGCUAGCGUUAUCCGGAAUUACUGGGCGUAAAGGGUGCGUAGGUGGUUUCUUAAGUCAGAGGUGAAAGGCUACGGCUCAACCGUAGUAAGCCUUUGAAACUGGGGAACUUGAGUGCAGGAGAGGAGAGUGGAAUUCCUAGUGUAGCGGUGAAAUGCGUAGAUAUUAGGAGGAACACCAGUUGCGAAGGCGGCUCUCUGGACUGUAACUGACACUGAGGCACGAAAGCGUGGGGAGCAAACAG
rnacentral:rRNA from 1 species